AGGAAGAUGGUAUACCUUUCCAAGUAUUCAUCCCAGCCCAUUGUUUCUGACUUGUAGGGUUUCCUUCCAAGCAUCAAUGAUUAUGUGUGGCAAGACAAUAAGGACAUCUACAUGAUUUAUUACUCAUAUUUUCCACCAUUGAAGUCAGCUUGGGAAGCAACAACUUGGCAGGACUCAGAAGCCCUAGGGAGAAAUGCUCCUAUCCAGUAGCUUCUGAAAAAUGGUAAUGCUUCUGUGUUCCUCUGACUUACUGGAGAAAAGAGAACUGGAGGAAAUUCACCUACAGACAAAAAAAGAAAAAUAAGGGAGACUUGAAAAGAAGAAGAGAGGCGACAGACACAUCAAGAUUCAAAGUCCCAGAAGACAGCGCACGACUUCCCAAGCUUGGGUUUGUUCCUGACUGGCCACAGGGGAGAGGAGGCUAGCUUACUUUGAUUUUUUUUUAUAGAAGAUCCUCUCUCCCACCCAAGACUAUCCACAGCAAAGAAGAAGCAGUUGUGUAUUAGUCAGCGUUCUCUAGGACAGAAGUAACAGGAUAGAGGAAUGUAUGAAAAGGAGUUUAUAUAAGGAGAGUUGACUCACACAAUCACAAGGCGAAGUCCAACGAUAGACAAUCUGCAAGCUGAGGAGCAAGGAAGUCAGUAGUGGCUCAGUGUGAGUCUCAAAACCUCAAAAGUAGGGAAGCUGACAGUGCAGCCUUUAGUCUGUGGCCGAAGCCCCAAGAGCCCCUGACAAACCACUGGUGUAAGUCCAAGAGUCUAAAGGCUGAAGAACCUGGAGUCUGAUGUUCAAGGGCAGGAAGCAUUCAGCACGGGAAAAAGAUGAAGGCUGGAAGACUCAGAAAGUCAGCUCAUUCCACCUUCUUCUACCUAGCAGCUGAUUGAAUGGUGCCCACCCAGACUGAGGGUGAAUCUGCGUCUCCCAGUCCACUGACUCAAAUGUUAACCUCCUCUGGCAGCAACCUCACAGACACAUCCAGAAACAAUACUUUGCAUCCUUCAAUCCAAUCAAGUUGACACUUAAUAUUAACCAUCACAAGUGGUAAGUUAGAUAUGUCUUCUAUCUGCUCCUGAGGGCCAACGGUUAAAAUUUUAGAAGUCCUAUAAGCUGGUUGUUAUAUAUAGAUAUUAUUUAAAAUUUAUAUUAAUUUGCAAUUAAAUAAAUUAUAUUAAUAAUAAAGGUAAUAAAUACUCAAAGCUUUUCACUUCCCAAGUUAUGUUAGGAUUACUUAUGUUCUUGAGGUUAUUUGCAUUUUCAUGGCUGAAUAGUGGAAAUGCGACACAUCGAUGUGUUACUGCACAUCUCUUCCCUGCUCUGUGUUAGUGUUCAGUGAUAUCAUGUUGGCACUUUGAAAUCAGCCAAGGUGCAUGCUUUAUACUAUAGAAAUUCACAAGCACUACAAAGUACAACUUGGUUUAUUGCUUUGUUGAUGGUCUAGACUUAAGAAAAUGAUGGAGAAAUGUAAAUCAUGCAAGUUAAACUUGAAAGUGUAUUAUAUUUGUAGUCAUUACAUUGUGACUAGUACAAAAAGUGAGGAAAUAUUCUUCCAGUGUUAAAAUACUAUUAUCAGAUUCAGCAAGGAAUCUGUUUGUGUGAUGAACAAAAAAGUUCUGAUACAGGUCUUAGUUGUUUCACUUUGCCUUACUCACUAACAUAAAUGAAAAUAUCAACCAGCCUUUCAGUCAGAACUACACCCCUUCAUCACCUACAACUCUAGUUUGCAGAAAUUUAGCAAAAUCAACAAAAACACUCUGUGAGAAUUAAUUGGUUGUGUAGAAUUUAAAAUGAAAUUAGAUAUUUUAUUAUUAUUUAUAAAUUAUCUGUUAUAUGUUCUUGAUAUGAGUACAUGUAUAAUAUAAUAAAAUAAUACACACACACACACACACACACACACACACACGGAGAACCAGUUGUUGAACAUAUAUCAGCAUGAAUAUGAGUAAUUCCCACCCUAAAAACUUAGGAUGCUGAGCAGCCAAAAACAAAAAUAAAUUAUGUCUUCUAAGAUAGGUAUAUAAACAGGCAAUUGCAAGAUAACACAUGUAGUAUUUACGGGGCAAUAGAGUUCAACAAACAAAAAAGAAAACAAUGCAGCAUAGAGAAAAGAAUGAAAGGAGAGAAAUGGCUAAAUUUAGGGUAAGUCAAAGUUAGAGGGAGGUACAUUGUUGAUCCUUGGUUCAACUAUUAAAUAGAAGGCUAGAUUACAUACUUUAAAAAUUGGGAGUGAGGCAAGGAAAGGGGAUUGUUGAAAGUGGCCAAUGUUUGGAAGAGAUAUUAAGGGAUAUUUUAGAAGGUGCUAUGCCUUAUUCCCUAUAAUGUCCAGCUAAUACUUUAUAUAGCGUGAUUUCAGUAAAUGUUUAGUCAUUGAAUGUGGAAAUCCACCAUUAUGUUAUAUAGUGAUUCUGGGUCCGCUAUUUACCAGCAGAGUGACACUGGGGAAAUUAAUCUCUCUGUCCCUCGGUGUUCCCAUGUGCAAAAUGGAGAUAAUAAUAUGAGAUAAUUUAUUAUAUAUCUUUGAGAAUUAAAAAUGUUUUAUGUACAGCCCUUAGAACAUGUACAGCCCUUAGAACAGUCCUAGGAACUGGCAGCAGUUAGCAGAUUAUUAUUAUAAUUAUCUUGGGUCCAUGUUUUUUCUUUAAUUUUUUGGUUGCUUUCUUAAUAGCAGGUUGUUGGUGAUUACUUCCUGUGUUUGCAUUGUGUCUGCAUCUUACAGUACUACUCAUCUCUGUCUAUUUUUCUGGUGAGGAACUGAAACAUGGCCCUGAUGAAAACCAGACCGCAAUAUUCUCUCCCAUCACAACGUUGUGUUCUUAACAUUCGCAUAAACAAUGCUAAGAACAAGGCAUAGACAAGACUGCUACGUGACCAGAGAAAUGACUAAAUACCCACCUCUUUUGACUAACAUGAAUGAUUGCUGCUUUUUUACCAGUGGCAACUCUAGAUUCGCUUUAUUCUUCUUAUCUCUUAGACAAAAAAUGUUAAGAUUCCCAAUCACUGACUUUUUCCUUCUUCUUGAAAGCUCCCAAUUCAGAACUGGUUCUUGUUUCCUUAUUUAACUCCUUAGAAUCAUCCAACAUAAGCUCAACUCCCAUAAGAAGCCUUUUCUUAACCCCCUCCCCAUUACUGACAUGCUCCUAUGUUCCUAUGGAGUGCUGUCUCCCUUCCUGCAGCAAGCUAAAUAACCUUCACCUUUUACAUUUAUUUACUUAUUUAUUUUACAAGCGCGCCCGUUAGUCUUUGGUCUGCUUCAAUAGUGGUCAUGUAAUCAGUCAUUGGCCAGAAAGAUUGAAAACCAAGAAUGAUGUGUUAAGAAUUGUGUGUUAAAGUAAGAACGAAUAUGAUUUUUAGUAAGUUGCUAAGGGAAGCAGUACAUUGCCUGGGGUUUGAAGAAUGAAGGUCCUCCUGCAUUAUGUUUGAGCUCAAACUGAGUUCUGGAGAACUCAGCUGACACACACAUGGGAUUUUAUUGUUGGUUUCUUUUUUUAGAAGAAGAAUCUCAAUCUUCAGAAACUGUGGAUAUAAAGUACAAAGAACCUUUUUUUCUGAAUCUAUUCUUAAGUUGCUGAUAUUAUGCUUCAUCAUCCCUGAAUACUUGAAUGUGCAUUUCCUAUAAAAAAGGACAUAACCACAAUACAACACUCACAAUCAGGAAAUUAACAUUGAUACCUUACUACCAUCUCGUCCUCAGCCCAUGUGUAAAUAACAUCCUUUGUAUCUAAAGAAUGCAGUUCAAAAUCGCAGCUUGCAUUUAGUUGUCAUGUGUGUAGUCUCCUUCAAUAGGGAACAGUUACUUCUUCAGUCUCUUCUUAACUAACACUCUGACACUUGAAGAUUACAGGUCAAUUAUUUUAGAGACUAUCUCUUUGGGUUUGUCUAACAUUUCCUUAUCUUUAGUUUCAGGUAAUGCAUCUUUGGCAUAAAUAUUUUUAAAAUGAUACUGUGUUCUGUUCUUUGUAUUUUAUCAGGUGGACCUGAUAAAAUACAUCUUGUCUUAUCACUGGUGUUUAAUCCUUGAAUGAGGUGGCAUCUGCCAAGGUUGUUCACUGUGAGGUGACUCUUUUUCCCUUUGCAGUUAAUAAGCAUUUUUUGCAGGGGCAAGUAUAUGAGACUAUGUAAAAUCCUCUUUCUCAGCAUAGUUUCAAUCUGUUUGCUUGUUUGCUUAUAUUAAUAUAGACUCAUGAUUUCCUGUUUUAUUUAAUGCGUUAUUGUCUGCCACUUUGUAUUCAUUUUGACCUCCAAAUUAUCCCUGAUUUGCCUAGUGGAAGCCCCUUCAACCUGACUUUUUUUUUUUUUCUACAAGUCUCUAUGAUUCUUUGAGCACUUCCUCACUUUUAGACACCACAAGUUGUUCUAGGCUCACACUGUAGUUUUCUCCCCCAGCCUGGAAUCAGCUACUUCUUCACAAAAUCCCUAGCUCUCAAUGGAUAAAGGUCUUUAGAAGUCAAGAUCAAGGUGCUAGCUGUGCUUCCUGCCUUUCAUUUUAUCUCAUGCCCUCUCAUUAUAUACACACAGGCACACACCUCUAUUUAUUUCUAUAUCUAACAUAUAUUUUGAAAGACCUGAGUUUACACUAAUGCCUCCAAUGCCAGACAAAACCAUAAAGUUCCAUAUUUGCAGUUCAUUCAUGAGCAAUCUGCACACAUUACCCUUAAGGUACUUAUUUGUUGAUCAAUCUACGAGUAAGGAACUCAUUCCCAUUGUGUCCGGAGUUGGUUCCUUCCAGUGGGUUCAUGGUCUUGCUGACUUCA
rnacentral:lncRNA from 1 species